CUACGGGGGGGCAAGCGGGUUGUUCGGAAUUACUGGGCGUAAAGGGCGCGAGUAGGCGGCCUACUAAGUCAGACGUGAAAUCCCCAGGCUCAACCUGGGAAACUCGCGUCUGAUGACUGGAUGGCUUGAAUCCGGGAGAGGGAUGCAGAAUUCCUGGGUGGUAGCGGUGAAAUGCGCAGAGUAUACAGGAGGAACACCGGU
rnacentral:rRNA from 1 species